rnacentral:rRNA from 1 species
AGUGAACGCUGGCGGUAGGCCUAACACAUGCAAGUCGAACGGCAGCACAGUAAGAGCUUGCUCUUACGGGUGGCGAGUGGCGGACGGGUGAGGAAUACAUCGGAAUCUACUUUUUCGUGGGGGAUAACGUAGGGAAACUUACGCUAAUACCGCAUACGACCUACGGGUGAAAGCAGGGGAUCUUCGGACCUUGCGCGAUUGAAUGAGCCGCUGUCGGAUUAGCUAGUUGGGGGGGUAAAGGCCCACCAAGGCGACGAUACGUAGCUGGUCUGAGUGGAUGGUCAGCCACCCUGGAGCUUGGCCACGGUCCAGGCUCCUACGGGAGGCCGCAGUCGGGAAUAUUGGGCAGUGGGCGCGAGCCUGGUCCAGCCGUCCCGCGUGGGUGAAGAAAGCCUUCGGGUUGUAAAGCCCUUUUGUUGGGUAAGAACCGCUGCCGGUUAAUACCCCGCUGUUCUGACGGUACCCAAAGAAUAAGCACCGGCUAACUUCGUG